GGCCCUACGGGGCGCAGCAGGCGCGAAAACUGUACAAUGCGCGAAAGCGCGAUACGGGGAGCCUGAGUGCCUUAACAUUUGUUAAGGCUUUUCACAAGCCUAAAAAGCUUGUGGAAUAAGAACUGGGUAAGACGGGUGCCAGCCGCCGCGGUAACACCCGCGGUUCGAGUGGUAGUCACUUUUAUUGAGCCUAAAGCGUUCGUAGCCGGAUUCGUAAAUCUCUAGGAAAAUCCUUCUGCCCAACAGAAGAAAUUCUGGAGAGACUGCGAAUCUAGGGACCGGGUGAGGUUGAAUGUACUUCUGGGGUAGGGGUAAAAUCCUGUAAUCCUGGAAGGACGACCGGUGGCGAAGGCGUUCAACUAGAACGGAUCCGACGGUGAGGAACGAAGGCUAGGGGAGCAAACCGGAUUAGAUACCCGGGUAGUCCUAGCUGUAAACACUGACCCACUUGGUGUUGCAUCUCCGGUAAGGGGGUGC
rnacentral:rRNA from 1 species